CCUUAUCAUUAGCAAAAACUGUAAUACGAGAUGUAAGUCCCGCUGGUACUACAUUAUUAUGUAAACUCAUGUACAGUUAUUGGUGUGACAACUGUUGUAAUUUAAAUAUACAUGCACCAUUAUUAAUUAAAAUCACUUAAAUUACAAUUAAUAAUAUAAAAUCACGUUCAUUAAUUAAAUUACCAAAUUUAUCAUAUUUAUUUAGCAAAUUGUAUUUGCGGCAUUUAUGCACCUUUGUGACGACCCAAUGGACUUGAGGCAAGUAGUUCCAACAACUUCUUGUCGUCCAGGAGAUGCAUGCAUACCGAGAAUGUCAAUGCGUCCAUUUUUCGUCUUAUAACGCCAAAUAUUGAAGAAUACUGAGAACGAAGUCGAAGGAAAUGCAUGUCGUGUUUACUGUAACUGCCAGCGUAGAAAGCUCGAGAUAUGCAUGCAGCGAUGUUCGAUAUUCUUUCAGGAAAGUGCUGUAGAGGAAAAUGACGAGAAAUUAGAACCACUAGGGUAUCAAUAAAACAACUGAUACUGGUAUGUAUUUCACUGUAUGGAGAUAUGAAGUGAUAAGGAAGCAAUGCUAUAAAGUAUAAACGUGCAAGUCAUAAGAGCAAAUUCUGGAGCAGUCUAUAAAAUCUAAAAUAAAAACUGUCUAAAAGCAGUUGCA